GGAGUUGGUCCCAAGGGUUGGGCUGUUCGCCCAUUAAAGCGGUACGCGAGCUGGGUUCAGAACGUCGUGAGACAGUUCGGUCCCUAUCCUCUGUGCGCGCAGGAAAUUUGAGAAGGGCCGUCCCUAGUACGAGAGGACCGGGAUGGACGAACCUCUGGUGUGCCAGUUGUACCGCCAGGUGCAUGGCUGGUUGGCUACGUUCGGAAGGGAUAACCGCUGAAAGCAUCUAAGCGGGAAGCCUGCUUCAAGAUGAGAUUUCCACGCCCCCCAGUGGGGUGAGAGGCCCCCGCCAGACUAGCGGGUUGAUAGGCCAGAGGUGGAAGCACAGCAAUGUGCUCGUGAGCCGACUGGUACUAAUGGGCCAACACUAAACAAC
rnacentral:rRNA from 1 species